rnacentral:sRNA from 1 species
GCAAGAUUGAGGGCCGAGUUGGGGCCGC